GGCUGCUGGUUACUCUUCAGAUUGUAUAAAUCUUUUGCCUUUUACUAAGAUUUCCAUGGAGAGGAACAAGUAUGGGUGUCAAGGAAUUUUUUUUAUCUCAAAA
rfam:Caprimulgus carolinensis contig15387, whole genome shotgun sequence.